rnacentral:lncRNA from 1 species
AUGAGAUACAAGUGUAAAUACACCUAAUCAGAGCAUAGAAGUCUAGGUGCAAUCCAGUAGGACAAGUACUAGUUAUACAGUACCAGAAGAAGUCCUACGAAAAAUAUAAAACAGAAUAAGUAACUCAAGUGAAAAUAAAUUCAUGAAAAAUAACAUAUUAGCCGGAACCCCUACAGAAGUCUGUACAAUUGAAUUCAUUGCUCAUUAAUCAAUCUAGCUAGAGUCACUACAAGUGACCUAUACGGCACUACACUGCACACGUGUCGGAACACGACAAGACUAGGUGUAAUAUAGUUAUGCUCGAUGUUACGCACUCAUGAUGGCUAUGCGAUAAAUCGCUAGUCACCUACGAGUCGGAACCACCUAUGAUGGUCUGUAUGACAAGAAUGUGCACCUAAAUUGGAUCCAAUGUGAGCAUAGGGUGCGGGAGGUGACAUUAUAAACAGGCAUGUACCAUAUCUCUAGCUAAAUCAAAAUCACCCGGGGUGUAGGUUUAUGAGCUUUCAAUCACAUCUCAUAUUAUAAAUAUCUCAUAUAAUAAAAUAUAACUCACCUGGUACUUACCUGAGCGUCCACAGCACCAAUUCAUAUUAUACAUCAUAUACUAAUUCAUAUGUUGAAUAUAAAUUUAUAUGCAUGGCAUUUCAAUGCAUACUUUCAUUUAAACGCAUUUUCUAGGAAAAUAUCAAGUAUAUAAGUAUAUGCUGAAAACCAAAAGCCCACUCAUUGGUAUGUCGAAGGGUCGUAGCCCCCGAGUCAUCCUUGACUGCGCUCGUC